AAAGAACGAUUCCUCUCUUUCUCUGCAUCAUUCUCGCACGCUCGCUUAGGGCCGAGCCUAGGGGAACAAUGCCGGCGCCGCCACCCUCGCCGGCCUCCACCACCAACGUCGGCCGCCGCCGCCCCUUCUCCAGUCCAGUCUCCAAUGGAUCCCUCGACCCCGACUACCUCCCCCUGUCCUCGCCUAGGAAGCUAGGACGCGCGUGGCGCGCCUAGGGUUAGCUGCGGUGGCGGGUGCCGCCCCGUCGGCCGACUCAGCCUUCCGCCUCCCGGCCCUCCGACCGCCUGCCCUCCGCAUGUCAGCUCGCCGCCCGCCCCGCCGGCCCUCCACCACCAGUCCACCACCGGGGAUGGUAAGUCUGUGCGGGACGAGGAAGAAGAACAAUAGAGAAUUUUCUUCAAUGACAUGAAUGGAUUUUCUAUGCUGCGGUAGGACAACCUGCUGGAAGAUUAUCUGUAAUACUACUUGUAGCUGACGCGGCCAUGUACUACAGAUGGGUUGGGCCUAAAUUAAUGUAUAUACCCAUAUAUGUUAUGACUGAAAUGAUAUUCUCAGUCGCUGUUUGCAGUUUCU